CACACACACACACAUACACACGCACACACACACAACAAAACGUCUACACCGAAAUCAAUGUAAAAGAUCAGUAACACCCACUGACCCCCUCAUCAUAUACACUAUUGCACAAUAAUUUAACACAUGAAUAGGAAUUAAAUUCAGAUGAUCCACAAGUGUGCAUACAAACACACACACACACACACACACACACACACACACACACGCACACAAACACCAAGAUAAACAUAUCUUCACAACAUAAUUCACUGAGACUGACAGUGCAGUUAAGCCUAACGGCCAAAACUGAAAGGAAAUCCUUUUGGACGAAUGAGCGGAUGUGUGGAAUAUGAAAGAAUGAGGGGAUAUUGAUUGGAGGCAUUCUGUUUCAGGGAGGCUGCUCUGGGAGUUCGGAGAGACACCGGUCUGGGCCAUAACAGCCAAAACAGCCCAUAUCUCUGCCUGCUAAUUCCUGAAUGCCAAUUUACAGCAGCAAUUACCAGGAGGUUCUCGUCUGGAAGAAGACAGCCACAGGAGAGUGAGAAUGGCACAAGGCCACAGGGACCAAGGCUUCUAAUUGCACAUAUUCUCAGCACCCUCCUCCCCGUCCAUCUGUGUCCAUUGUGCUGCAGUAUGCGGAGGAUUCCUCAGGAGCGCGGGCCACUGGCAGCCCUGAAAAGGACACAGUGGGAAGGAGACGAGCGGAGAGGACCGGCGGGAGAUCGGGGUAGGGACCUCGUUGUUCGUUUCUAACACCGCGGCCUG